AAUAUUGGACAAUGGGCGAAAGCCUGAUCCAGCCAUGCCGCGUGUGUGAAGAAGGUCUUCGGAUUGUAAAGCACUUUAAGUAGGGAGGAAAGGCAGCAAGCUAAUACCUGGCUGUUUUGACGUUACCGACAGAAUAAGCACCGGCUAACUUCGUGCCAGCAGCCGCGGUAAUACGUAGGGUGCAAGCGUUAAUCGGAAUUACUGGGCGUAAAGCGUGCGCAGGCGGUUCGUCAAGAUGGAUGUGAAAGCCCCGGGCUUAACCUGGGAACUGCUUUCAAAACUGGCGAGCUAGAGUAUGGCAGAGGGUGGUGGAAUUCCCUGUGUAGCGGUGAAAUGCGUAGAGAUAGGAAGGAACACCAGUGGCGAAGGCGACCACCUGGGCUAAUACUGACGCUGAGGUGCGAAAGCGUGGGGAGCAAACA
rnacentral:rRNA from 1 species